rnacentral:rRNA from 1 species
GAUGAACGCUGGCGGCGUGCCUAAUACAUGCAAGUCGAGCGAACAGAUGAGGAGCUUGCUCCUCUGACGUUAGCGGCGGACGGGUGAGUAACACGUGGAUAACCUACCUAUAAGACUGGGAUAACUUCGGGAAACCGGAGCUAAUACCGGAUAAUAUAUUGAACCGCAUGGUUCAAUAGUGAAAGACGGUUUUGCUGUCACUUAUAGAUGGAUCCGCGCCGCAUUAGCUAGUUGGUAAGGUAACGGCUUACCAAGGCAACGAUGCGUAGCCGACCUGAGAGGGUGGUCGGCCACCCUGGAACUGAGACGCGGUCCAGACUCCUACGGGAGGCAGCAGUAGGGAAUCUUCCGCAAUGGGCGAAAGCCUGACGGAGCAACGCCGCGUGAGUGAUGAAGGUCUUCGGAUCGUAAAACUCUGUUAUUAGGGAAGAACAAAUGUGUAAGUAACUAUGCACGUCUUGACGGUACCUAAUCAGAAAGCCACGGCUAACUACGUG